CCGGCGCACGGGUGAGUAAUGCGUAUCCAACCUGCCCACCACUUGGGAUAACCUUGCGAAAGUAAGACUAAUACCCAAUGAUAUCUCUAGAAGACAUCUGAAAGAGAUUAAAGAUUUAUCGGUGAUGGAUGGGGAUGCGUCUGAUUAGCUUGUUGGCGGGGUAACGGCCCACCAAGGCAACGAUCAGUAGGGGUUCUGAGAGGAAGGUCCCCCACAUUGGAACUGAGACACGGUCCAA
rnacentral:rRNA from 1 species